ensembl:miRNA MIR668 microRNA 668
CGAGCGGGAGUCACCCCUGCUUAGGGUAAGUGUGUCUCGGGUGAGCAUGCAAUGAACGUGCUCGCAUGUCACUCGGCCCACUACCCAAGAUUGUUC